CUAACACAUGCAAGUCGAGCGGUAGCACAGAGAGCUUGCUCUCGGGUGACGAGCGGCGGACGGGUGAGUAAUGUCUGGGAAACUGCCUGAUGGAGGGGGAUAACUACUGGAAACGGUAGCUAAUACCGCAUAAUGUCGCAAGACCAAAGUGGGGGACCUUCGGGCCUCAUGCCAUCAGAUGUGCCCAGAUGGGAUUAGCUAGUAGGUGGGGUAACGGCUCACCUAGGCGACGAUCCCUAGCUGGUCUGAGAGGAUGACCAGCCACACUGGAACUGAGACACGGUCCAGACUCCUACGGGAGGCAGCAGUGGGGAAUAUUGCACAAUGGGCGCAAGCCUGAUGCAGCCAUGCCGCGUGUAUGAAGAAGGCCUUCGGGUUGUAAAGUACUUUCAGCGGGGAGGAAGGCGAUAAGGUUAAUAACCUUGUCGAUUGACGUUACCCGCAGAAGAAGCACCGGCUAACUCCGUGCCAGCAGCCGCGGUAAUACGGAGGGUGCAAGCGUUAAUCGGAAUUACUGGGCGUAAAGCGCACGCAGGCGGUCUGUCAAGUCGGAUGUGAAAUCCCCGGGCUCAACCUGGGAACUGCAUUCGAAACUGGCAGGCUAGAGUCUUGUAGAGGGGGGUAGAAUUCCAGGUGUAGCGGUGAAAUGCGUAGAGAUCUGGAGGAAUACCGGUGGCGAAGGCGGCCCCCUGGACAAAGACUGACGCUCAGGUGCGAAAGCGUGGGGAGCAAACAGGAUUAGAUACCCUGGUAGUCCACGCCGUAAACGAUGUCGAUUUGGAGGUUGUGCCCUUGAGGCGUGGCUUCCGGAGCUAACGCGUUAAAUCGACCGCCUGGGGAGUACGGCCGCAAGGUUAAAACUCAAAUGAAUUGACGGGGGCCCGCACAAGCGGUGGAGCAUGUGGUUUAAUUCGAUGCAACGCGAAGAACCUUACCUGGUCUUGACAUCCACAGAACUUAGCAGAGAUGCUUUGGUGCCUUCGGGAACUGUGAGACAGGUGCUGCAUGGCUGUCGUCAGCUCGUGUUGUGAAAUGUUGGGUUAAGUCCCGCAACGAGCGCAACCCUUAUCCUUUGUUGCCAGCGGUUCGGCCGGGAACUCAAAGGAGACUGCCAGUGAUAAACUGGAGGAAGGUGGGGAUGACGUCAAGUCAUCAUGGCCCUUACGACCAGGGCUACACACGUGCUACAAUGGCAUAUACAAAGAGAAGCGACCUCGCGAGAGCAAGCGGACCUCAUAAAGUAUGUCGUAGUCCGGAUUGGAGUCUGCAACUCGACUCCAUGAAGUCGGAAUCGCUAGUAAUCGUAGAUCAGAAUGCUACGGUGAAUACGUUCCCGGGCCUUGUACACACCGCCCGUCACACCAUGGGAGUGGGUUGCAAAAGAAGUAGGUAGCUUAACCUUCGGGAGGGCGCUUACCACUUU
rnacentral:rRNA from 1 species